GAUGAGUGGAGCUUGCUCCAUGAUUCAGCGGCGGACGGGUGAGUAAUGCCUAGGAAUCUGCCUGGUAGUGGGGGACAACGUUUCGAAAGGAACGCUAAUACCGCAUACGUCCUACGGGAGAAAGCAGGGGACCUUCGGGCCUUGCGCUAUCAGAUGAGCCUAGGUCGGAUUAGCUAGUUGGUGAGGUAAAGGCUCACCAAGGCGACGAUCCGUAACUGGUCUGAGAGGAUGAUCAGUCACACUGGAACUGAGACACGGUCCAGACUCCUACGGGAGGCAGCAGUGGGGAAUAUUGGACAAUGGGCGAAAGCCUGAUCCAGCCAUGCCGCGUGUGUGAAGAAGGUCUUCGGAUUGUAAAGCACUUUAAGUUGGGAGGAAGGGCAGUAAGUUAAUACCUUGCUGUUUUGACGUUACCGACAGAAUAAGCACCGGCUAACUUCGUGCCAGCAGCCGCGGUAAUACGA
rnacentral:rRNA from 1 species